CCUAUUUCCUAUCCAAAUCACCAAAUUUUGUUGUUUUGUUUGUUUCCAAAGAAGAGAACUGCUUUGGAUACAGUGGACCUGAGAAACUGGACACAAUUUUUUAGAGCUGGACUUCUGAAAGCAAAGACUUAUGCAGGAAGGUUGAAAACAAGAUUAUUCUCCACAGAAUAAGCACUGAGGUACUAUUCUGGAGGAAAGGCAGUAUAAUUGUAUCAGAAGAACUUUCAGCACAACUAACAAGAAGAAUUUGUCAGUAUGCGCAACUACAAUGACAGCCUCUCCAAAUUCAAAAAUAAAUUUACAUAUUUUUAUCUACAGUAAGAGACCUUUGCUGCUUUCCUACUCCAGGAUCUGCUCUUCCUCUUCCAAAAUGAUUUCCUAAUAAAGCAUUUCUGAAAGAAGCUUGGACUUGCAACUCAUUGACUUCAAGAUACACUCCAAAUGAGGGUCCUUUUUCUCACUUUCCCAGGGACACAUAGCUACCAGAUACC
rnacentral:lncRNA from 1 species